AUAGGAUGGAGGGAUGGAUGAUCAUCCGAUCCUCCUGACUGAUAGAAAGAAAGAAAAAAAAAGGAAGGAAGGAAAUAUAUUGGUGGAGGUGGAUUAAAUAAUUAAAGGAAUUAGAACUGGAGCUUGGAGGUGUAGACGGUGUCGGGCUUCCAUCCUUCUGGGAUGACGUCGUCCUGUUCGAGCUUGGUUCCUCCCUCGCUGGUGAGACGGAUGGCGAUGGGGCCCUUGAUGGGCUUGGGGCUGUCGAUCCUCCAGAUGGCGCCCCAGGAGUGCUUGAGGGGCACGAACUCGUCGGAGCCCUUCUCCUUGAUGUCGACGGCGACGAUGUCGCCGUCGCCGGCGGCGUACUUGACGAGGAGGGCGAAGUAGUUGGGGUUGCAGCCCUUCUCGAUGUGGAAGGCGAUCUUGGUGUCGGCGGGGUACUUGCACUUGACGCGGCGGAACUGCAUGUCGAUGAUGCCGGCCUUGCGCAGCUUCUCCUCCUCGCCCUUCUUGGCCAUGGCGCCGAAGGCGGUGCCGGCGAGGUCGAAGUGGUAGGCGGCGAUGGGCUCGUCGUUCAUGUCCGUGAUGUGGACGAUGACGGGCUCGCCGGAGCACUCGGCGGGCUUGUCGCACUUGAUCUCGUAGCAGGAGCCGCAGCCGAGGCCGUCCUUGAAGAUGGGGGAGUUGCCGCACGCGUUCAUGCUGUUGAAGGGGGCCUUGUUCACGUCCUUGUACCCGCACGCGCCGCCGUUGUCGUCGGGGCCGGCGCCCGUCGCCUUGCCGUACCACGUCGCCUUGGCGUCCAGCCACUUGCCGUCGCACGUCGCAGAGAUGUUCUUGCCGGGGGGGACCUUGGGAGGGCCGCACACCGCGCCGCCAACCAGCGACGCCACAACCACCGCCACCAUCACCGUCGUCGACGUCGUCGAGGCCAUCUCCGAUGAUCCUUGUUGGAUAAAUGUCGUUGCUUGUGAUGAGUGGGGAGCCAAGGCCGCUGCUGCUGGGUAUUAUAUGCUCACCGCCCGGCCACCAACGCGCGGCGCUCCGGCCAUGUCGGUCGGUGCUCUUCGUGCGUGCGUAUGCAUGGUCGAAGGCCUUGUUGUUCUUGACGCAUGCAUGCAACCGCUGGGCUUGUGUUGCCAAAGUUAGACGUAGCACCGACCAGAGAUGGGAAAAAAGUUGCAUGCAGUCAGUCGGGCUGCAGACGGACUGCGGCAGUCGCCCGAUGCCCUCCGCGUGGGAUCGGACGGAGGCACCCUCGCUCGGCUCGAUAGUCGCUGGCUCAUUGACGUGUGCGCCCGUCCGCGUGGUACUUUCUAUCCGCGGCUCAGCUCGGCUCGCUCACCGUGCGUCCACCGCGAUCCUCGCGAUCAGUUGUCCUCGGCUCGCGUAAUCUCGUGAUCACAUCAGUUGCCGUUCCUCCUGCUCGUCCCCACGGCCUCCUCCUCGGCCGCCUCCACCGGCACGUCCCACUCGCCGUCGUGGAAGGCGCGCACGUACGACUUGGAAGGUGGGCAUCUUCGCCUCGCUCCAGUUCUGGACGUGCAUCUCCUGCCGCUUCCUCUUCAACUACCCUGUCAACGGCACCACCAUGCCCAUCGACUGCCGAUCCAAGGCGACUACUCUCUCCAUUGUUUCUUUCAUUCAUUUCGUUUGGUCAUUCCAUAACAACAAUUAGCAGAUAUAAAUGUUAAUGAGCCAUACUUGUACAGGCGAAUAAUGCUGUUACAUAUAAUUCCCAAGUGCAGGAAGCUAGGAACACACACGCUCAUCAGAUGCCAUCUUCCUUGGAGAACCUGGAGCGAAUGAUCAGCAGAUAACUCAGGUACAGUUAGCUUUUUUUUGUUUGAUGAUUGUACACGCCCUCCGCCUAUUUCUAAUCCGUGAGCACAUUUACAUGCGUGAGCACAUGCUAGGUCACACAUAAUACAGAGAAUACCGAGUCGAUCACCAUAGAAGCAAUGGUGAAUGAAACGCUAGAUGAGGCAAUUGAAGCAACUUGAAUAAUAAAAUUCAAGUGAGAUCAUAAUAUUUCAUAUUUUUCUAAGGCAUCUUUUAACUCUACGCUCAUUAUAUAACAUGUGGCUGAUAAAGUUGGACAAACUUUGAUUGUUCCUGAAGUUGGAAUGUCUUUCGAAUCCGAAGAGAAAGCUUACGAUAUGUACAACACAUAUGCAGGCAAGAUUGGGUUCAGUAUUAGAAAGAGCGACAUAAAGCGCCGAGCAGAUGGCAGUAUCUGUCACAAACAUAUAGUUUGCAGUAAUCAAGGUCAUGGAGAAACAGAAUCAUCAAAACACACUACAAGGACAGAUUGCAAUGCUCGUGUUCUAUUUAGUGUUAGCAAGGAGGGGGUGUGGACAGUGUAUAAGGUUGUGCUUGAUCACAAUCAUUACCUGGCUAGUCCAAAUAAAAGGCAGAAGCUGAGGUCCCAACGAAGUGUUGAAGAAGCAGACAAGAAACUAAUUGACCAAAUGAGGGACGGCGGGAUCAAGCCAGCCCAGGUGUUUGAGUUUAUGGUACAAUUUUAUGGAGGAGUUGAUAAAGUGCCAUUCACACGGAUGGAUUGCAACAAUGAGAUUGGUCGACAGAGCAAGAAGUAUUUAGAAUCCAAUGAUGCACAAACAUUGUUGGAAUACUUGAAAAAUAAGCAAAUAGAGGAUCCAUCAUUCUUUUAUGCCAUUGAAAUAGAUGAGAAAGAUGGUAGAAUGGAUAAUUUAUUUUGGGCAGAUGGUCAGUCUAUCAUGGAUUACGCAUGUUUUGGUGAUGCCGUGUCUUUCGACACCACGUUUCAGACUAAUAAGUUUGAAUUGCCUUUUGCUCCACUACUGGGAACCAACCAUCACAAGCAGACAAUUAUUUUUGGGGCUGCAUUAUUGUUUAAUGAGACUAUUGAAUCUUUUGUUUGGCUAUUUGAAACCUUUCUAACAGUAAUGUCAGGCAAGCAUCCUAGUACAAUUUUUACUAAUCAAGAUGCGGCCAUGGCGGGCGCAAUUGCUUAUGUAUUCCCAAACAUAAGCCAUCGUCUUUGUUUAUGGCACAUUUAUUUAAAUGCUGCUAAACAUCUCAGUCAUGUAAUUCAAGAGCAUCCGGAGAAAUUUCUUCCUGAUUUUAAGAGAUGUGUGUAUGAAGACAGAUCUGAGUUUUACUUCAAGAAGAAGUGGGAUGAAUUGUUGCGUGACUACAAACUUGAGGAUAAUGAAUGGAUGUUAAACCUAUAUGAUUUGAGAGCAAAGUGGGCUGCUGUGCAUCGUGACUCAUUUACAGCUGAUAUGAACUCCACUCAAAGGAGUGAAGGUAUGAAUAAUGUAUUCAAGAAAAGAUUUCGUAGAAAAUUGGGUCUUUCGGAGCUCCUUGUAGAAUACGAGAAGGUUUCUGUUAGUCUUCGUGAAAAUGAGUUGGAUGAAGAUUUCCAAUCACGUCGAAAGAGCCUAGUUACUUGCAUCCCUUUAUUGAAGACCGCGGCCGAUUCAUAUACAAGGAGGAUGUUUAAAGAAUUUGAGAAAGAAUUCGAGUUACAGUUUUUAUUUUCUUGUAGAUUGUUACCCAGCGAGGGUUCAGUUUUGACAUAUAUGGUUACACAUAUGUACUCUGACUAUAGAGCAACGGUUGUAUUCAACAAAGCAGAUUUGACCAUUGCAUGUGCUUGCCAAAAGUACGAAUCCAUAGGUAUGUAUACAAGGUUUAAAUUGCAAUAGUAUAAUUUCUAAUACAAAUUGCUGAAAUAUGACGUCCACAUCUUAUAGGUAUAUUGUGCAAGCAUGCGCUCAGAGUGUUCAAUGUAAACGAUGUUUUCGUGUUACCAUCACAAUAUAUACUGAACAGAUGGACAAAAUAUGCAAAGAGAGAAUUCUAUAUUGAGAAACAAGGAUCUGAGAAGGAAAGUUUGAAAACCCAAGCUGCACGUAUCUCACGAAAGGCAACAUCCGUUGCAUUGAAGUGUUCACGGUCAAAAUAACUUCUUGAUUAUUUGGAGAAUGCAAUAGGUAAUUUGGAUUUGGAAGCAGAUAAUUCUCUAAGCAAGAUGCAAGAAAAAGCCAAUGAGGUUCCUCCAAUUUCAAUUGAUUGUGCUACAAACACAUUCAGAGGUCAAAUAUCAUUUAGAAUUCCUCGGAUGGUAAAAGGCCCAAAGAGUAAAUGAGGGACCAUCUCCCUUGAAAAGAAUAAAGGGAAGAAAAAGAAAAGUGGUAGAAAGAAAGGUAAUGAUCCUACCCAUUCUAGGAUGUUUUCCUUUUUUGUUGCAUUUGUAUUUAACUUCAUAUUUGAAUAUAGGGCAAGAUUCAAUAAAUGCAGCAAAUAAUAGAUAUGAAGGAUGUGAAGAUGCUGACCUAGAGCAAUUUAUCGUAAGUUAUAUGAUUUAGAUUAUAUUCACUUUUCAUAUUUGAUUUGCUUACAUGUAACUUUUUAUAAACAAUUUCAUAUUCUAUCAUUCUAUCAUACAGGAUCUUAACGAUGGUACCAUUUCGAUAGGCAGCCCGGGUCGCGAGCAUGCAAAAAAACAUAAAAGAUCCAUUCAAACUGAUCAUUAACCAUACAUGAUAAGUUGAUUGUUAUUACAUGGUGAAGACGCAACGGGCUGAGGAAUAUUGUAAAAUGUGAUAAAUGAGGGUGUGUUUUGCUGCUGCGCGCCUCCUUUAUUUAUGAAUUAUAUAUUAAGGGAGGGAAAGAUAGGAUGGAGGGAUGGAUGAUCAUCCGAUCCUCCUGACUGAUAGAAAGAAAGAAAAAAAAAGGAAGGAAGGAAAUAUACUGGUGGAGGUGGAUUAAAUAAUUAAAGGAAUUAGAACUGGAGCUUGGAGGUGUAGACGGUGUCGGGCUUCCAUCCUUCUGGGAUGACGUCGUCCUGUUCGAGCUUGGUUCCUCCCUCGCUGGUGAGACGGACGGC
rnacentral:lncRNA from 1 species